GACGAACGCUGGCGGCGUGCUUAACACAUGCAAGUCGAACGGAAAUGCCCUGCUUUUGUGGGGUGCUCCAGUGGCGAACGGGUGAGUAACACGUGAGUAACCUGCCCUUGACUUUGGGAUAACUUCAGGAAACUGGGUCUAAUACCGGAUAGGAGCUCCUGCUGCAUGGUGGGGGUUUGAAAGUUUCGUCGGUUUGGGAUGGACUCGCGGCUUAUCAGCUUGUUGGUGGGGUAGUGGCUUACCAAGGCUUUGACGGGUAGCCGGCCUGAGAGGGUGACCGGACAAACUGGGAAUGAGAAAAGGCACAGACUCCUACGGGAGGCAGCAGGGGGGAAUAUUGCAGAAUGGGAGGAAGCCUGAUGAAGCGAAGCCGGGUGCGGGAUAACGGCCUUAGGGUUUGAAACCGCUUUCGGCAGGGAAGAAGCGAAAGUGACGGUAAUGGGUAAAGAAGCACCGGCUAACUACGUG
rnacentral:rRNA from 1 species